GACGAACGCUGGCGGCGUGCUUAACACAUGCAAGUCGAACGGAAAGGCCCUGCUUUUGUGGGGUGCUCGAGUGGCGAACGGGUGAGUAACACGUGAGUAACCUGCCCUUGACUUUGGGAUAACUUCAGGAAACUGGGGCUAAUACCGGAUAGGAGCUCCUGCUGCAUGGUGGGGGUUGGAAAGUUUCGGCGGGUGGGGAUGGACUCGCGGCUUAUCAGCUUGUUGGUGGGGUAGUGGCUUACCAAGGCUUUGACGGGUAGCCGGCCUGAGAGGGUGACCGGCCACAUUGGGACUGAGAUACGGCCCAGACGCCUACGGGAGGCAGCAGUGGGGAAUAUUGCACAAUGGGCGGAAGCCUGAUGCAGCAACGCCGCGUGCGGGAUGACGGCCUUCGGGUUGUAAACCGCUUUCGCCUGUGACGAAGCGUGAGUGACGGUAAUGGGUAAAGAAGCACCGGCUAACUACGUG
rnacentral:rRNA from 1 species